CUACGGGAGGCAGCAGUGGGGAAUAUUGGACAAUGGGGGAAACCCUGAUCCAGCAAUGCCGCGUGGGUGAUGAAGGCCCUAGGGUUGUAAAGCUCUUUCACCGGUGAAGAUAAUGACGGUAACCGGAGAAGAAGCCCCGGCCAACUUCGUGCCAGCAGCCGCGGUAAUACGAAGGGGGCUAGCGUUGUUCGGAAUUACUGCGCGUAAAGCGCACGUAGGCGGAUACUUAAGUCAGGGGUGAAAUCCCGGGGCUCAACCCCGGAACUGCCUUUGAUACUGGGUGUCUAGAGUCCGGAAGAGGUGAGUGGAAUUCCGAGUGUAGAGGUGAAAUUCGUAGAUAUUCGGAGGAACACCAGUGGCGAAGGCGGCUCACUGGUCCGGUACUGACGCUGAGGUGCGAAAGCGUGGGGAGCAAACAGGAUUAGAAACCUAGUAGUCC
rnacentral:rRNA from 1 species